CUUGCAGAGACGUCACAGGUUACGUAGGGUUGCUGUUCCUAAUAGUCAAGCACUGUCUCUCCUUGGCCGGGAUCUUCGUGAGGCUCAUCUCCAGGAGCAGAUGAAAUUUCAAAAUCUGUGGUAACAACUGCUGAGGACACUCCUGCAAAGAAGGUGGCGCCAUCACAUAUUUGGAAAUCAAGGUAUUGUUUCGUGUUCAUCAGAAACUGUGCUUGUCAUUGACUUCUAAAGCCCUUCCAAUAACUAUUUAAAUGUUAGAAAGUGAUGCGUUGUAUAUCAACCUCACACAAUCUGAAUAUUGAUUUAUUACCUAGUUUCCUCAUUCCAACAUAUUGUGCCAAGUAAUUAGUUCACUUACAUGGUUCUCUCCAUUCUUUCGAAAACUUGUUCUGCAUGUUUCUGAAUUCUUAAUGCUUGAAAAGUAUGGUAGACAGCAUAUCGACCUUGGCUCUAUAGACUGGAGUAGACACUGCCAAACUUUUGUUUGGAUAGGUGAGAAGUUCAAACAUCUUCAAGGUACAAGUGCUAAUCCCCAAGGUGGUGCCUAGUCAAUGCUUGAACAGUUUAUUGACUAUGGGUGCAUCUUCAGUACACUGCUCCAGUUUCUUAAGAACGCCAACCAGAUCCCUGGGCUGACAAGUCAUUGCUUUAUACUGCAACUCAAACUGGAGGUGGCACUAAUUAUCCUCUCACAGCUACACGGGAAUCUUUGUUUCUCAGCCGUGAGGCGCAAUUGGAAUCACAACUCCCAUCCUCUGGACUUUCCAUUUAUGGACAAGAGGCUUCUCUUUCUUCAAUACAUUCUUCAGGACUUGGCCGUCCUGGUGCUCCUAUUGUUACUCAGAUUACGCAAACAAUGCAAAUUCCUCUGUCUUAUGCUGAGGACAUUAUUGGGGUUAAAGGAAGGAGUAUUGAAUUUAUUCGUCAUAGUAGUGGAGCCUUGUUAACUGUACAAGAGAGCAGGGGACUACCUGAUGAAAUUACAGUGGAAAUAAAAGGCACCUCAUCACAGGUUCAGGCGGCUCAACAACUUAUUCAGGAAGUUAUAGCAACCAGCAACAAGGAUCAAAUUCCAAGCAGCUCUGGCAGGAUGGAUACCGGAUUGAGGUCAUCCUACUCUCAGUUAGAUUCUAUAUCUUACCCUUCCUCUUCAGUAUCCUCGCUACCUUAAUUGGAGGGGUGAGGCAUCAUGCAUCUUAAUUGGAGUGGAAAUUUUCAGUAUUUUCUGUGCAGAUUUAGAAUGUUUGAGUAUUAUUGAGACUAUCUUUGCAAGAAAAAGUUGAUGGCUUUGACCACUAAUGUGAUGAGAAAUGAUAGUGAUAAGGGCCUUUGAUUACAAGUUGUGAAAUUUUUGGCUGCCAAAUAUGAAGAGCUAGGGUGUGAAGUGAAAUGGAUGGGCAAGCCUGAUAAGGUGAUCUAGUCACAUUGGUCUGGUUACCGCUGUUAACUUCACUUCAUGUGAACCUUUACCUUAAUACAUAUUUCUCUUGCACUUGACUACCGAGAUGAAUUUUGAGCAAGGCUAGUUUUUGCUUUGAAGCAAAGUUUGGUGUUGAAAUUUUGUAGAUUGUUGCUCAUAUGUUUCUAGGCUAGCCUUUGUAGGUUUUGGGGUUUUCUUUUGUGACAUAUGUUCAAUCAUGAAUUUGGAAAGAAAAUUAAUGGAAAGCCCCAAUUUUUGGAUGAUUAUGAAA